rnacentral:lncRNA from 1 species
ACAUGGGCUGCCUUAGAGGUUUUAUAAACUAUCCUCUUGGCAAUGCAAUGAAAAAACGUGUACAGCCAUGUGCUAAAUGUGAUGCCCUUCUAGAAGGCUUAUUCUAACAUGUGAAAAUAAAGCUGAAAUGCUAAUUUCAAAUGUGAAGGAGAAGUUCUCUAAUGCAGCCCCUUAUCUUGAUAAGAGCACCCCUCCUUUUGUAGUAAUGACCAUUUUACCCUUCUCCAUGUUCUUGGGUUAUCCUUUAUUUGGUGGG